AAAACGGAGAGUUUGAUCCUGGCUCAGGAUGAACGCUGGCGGUAUGCUUAACACAUGCAAGUCGAACGGACUCUUCGGAGCUAGUGGCGGACGGGGGAGUAACGCGUGAGAAUCUGGCGUCAGGUUCGGGACAACAGUUGGAAACGGCUGCUAAUACCGGAUGUGCCCUGGGGUGAAAGAUUUAUCACCUGAAGAUGAGCUCGCGUCUGAUUAGCUAGUAGGUGUGGUAAGAGCGCACCUAGGCGACGAUCAGUAGCUGGUCUGAGAGGAUGAUCAGCCACACUGGGACUGAGACACGGCCCAGACUCCUACGGGAGGCAGCAGUGGGGAAUUUUCCGCAAUGGGCGAAAGCCUGACGGAGCAAUACCGCGUGAGGGAGGAAGGCUCUUGGGUUGUAAACCUCUUUUCUCAGGGAAGAAUGAUGACGGUACCUGAGGAAUAAGCAUCGGCUAACUCCGUGCCAGCAGCCGCGGUAAUACGGAGGAUGCAAGCGUUAUCCGGAAUGAUUGGGCGUAAAGCGUCCGCAGGUGGCAAUGUAAGUCUGCUGUCAAAGCGUCUGGCUCAACCAGAUAAAGGCAGUGGAAACUACAUAGCUAGAGUAAGGUAGGGGUAGAGGGAAUUCCUGGUGUAGCGGUGAAAUGCGUAGAGAUCAGGAAGAACACCGGUGGCGAAAGCGCUCUGCUGGACCUUAACUGACACUGAGGGACGAAAGCUAGGGGAGCGAAUGGGAUUAGAUACCCCAGUAGUCCUAGCCGUAAACGAUGGAUACUAGGCGUUGCCCGUAUCGACCCGGGCAGUGUCGUAGCUAACGCGUUAAGUAUCCCGCCUGGGGAGUACGCAGGCAACUGUGAAACUCAAAGGAAUUGACGGGGGCCCGCACAAGCGGUGGAGUAUGUGGUUUAAUUCGAUGCAACGCGAAGAACCUUACCAGGGCUUGACAUGUCCGGAAUCCUCUUGAAAGGGAGGAGUGCCUUCGGGAGCCGGAACACAGGUGGUGCAUGGCUGUCGUCAGCUCGUGUCGUGAGAUGUUGGGUUAAGUCCCGCAACGAGCGCAACCCUCGUUCUUAGUUGCCAUCAUUAAGUUGGGAACUCUAAGGAGACUGCCGGUGACAAACCGGAGGAAGGUGGGGAUGACGUCAAGUCAGCAUGCCCCUUACGCCCUGGGCUACACACGUACUACAAUGCUAUGGACAAAGGGCAGCAAGCCAGCGAUGGCAAGCAAAUCUCGUAAACCAUGGCUCAGUUCAGAUCGCAGGCUGCAACUCGCCUGCGUGAAGUCGGAAUCGCUAGUAAUUGCAGGUCAGCAUACUGCAGUGAAUUCGUUCCCGGGCCUUGUACACACCGCCCGUCACACCAUGGAAGCUGGUCACGCCCGAAGUCGUUACCCUAACCUUUCGAGGAGGGGGACGCCGAAGGUAGGACUGGUGACUGGGGUGAAGUCGUAACAAGGUAGCCGUACCGGAAGGUGUGGCUGGAUCACCUCCUU
rnacentral:rRNA from 1 species